ACCUUAGUUAAUGAUGGGCUAACUAAGGUUACAUACAUGUAACCAUGGUUACAUGCUUAUGACUUUUGAGUUUCAUAACUCAUAUGUUAUAAGAGGGGGAUUAUGGUUCCCAUAAGAAUGCAAGACAUUCUCUUCUUCUUCUACCCAUUGAGAGAGAGAGCCAUUGUUGUCUUGCAUAUCAAGUGGAAAACCAUUCCUCAUAUUUGUCUUGGAUAUUCUUGUGAAAGCCAUAUCUCUUGGGAAAACUUCAAGAUAUUCUUCAAGAAGGAUUAAGAAGCUUUCAAAGCCAAACAUUUGGACAAUCUUCAAAAGGACUAAGGAUUUCCACUUAUGGAUUCAGGUACGCUUCCGCUUAUGUUGUUAUUCCAAGUAAUUCGAUAUAAAGGCUAUUAUGUUUUAGUCGGAUUUAUAAUCCUAACAA
rnacentral:lncRNA from 1 species